rnacentral:rRNA from 1 species
UAAUACCGGAUAGAUCAAAGAAACUGGAAUGUUCUCUGAUCGAAAGCUCCGGCGCCCAAGGAUGGGUCUGCGGCCUAUCAGGUAGUAGUGGGUGUAACGUACCUACUAGCCUACGACGGGUAAGGGUUGUGAGAGCAAGAUCCCUGAGAUGGAUUCUGAGACAUGAAUCCAGGCCCUACGGGGUGCAGCAGGCGCGAAACCUUUACACUGCGGGAAACCGCGAUAAGGGGACCCCGAGUGCCAGCAUCUAAUGCUGGCUGUCCCGCUGUCCAAACAACAGCGGUUAGCAAGGGCCGGGCAAGACCGGUGCCAGCCGCCGCGGUAACACCGGCGGCCCGAGUGGUAGCCGUUAUUAUUGGGUUUAAAGGGCCCGUAGCCGGCCUAUUAAGUCUCUUGGGAAAUCUGGCGGCUUAAUCGUCAGGCGUUC